rnacentral:misc_RNA from 1 species
UUUCCGUAGGUGAACCUGCGGAAGGAUCAUUAUUGAAUGAACUUGGUAGUGGCUGUAGCUGGCUCUCUCGAGAGCAUGUGCACACCCGCCAUCUUUAUCUUUCCACCUGUGCACUUCUUGUAGACUUUGGGAUUUGAAAACUUAUCCGGGGCAACUCGGUCGGGAGGAGCUGCUGUAGCAAUGCAGCUCUCCUUGACAAGUCUUCAAAGUCUAUGUUUUUCAUAUACCCCAUAGUAUGUAACAGAAUGUAUACAAAUGAGCCUUAGUGCUUAUAAAACUUAUACAACUUUCAACAACGGAUCUCUUGGCUCUC